CAACAAGUUCAACCACCACUAAGAAAGUUUGAUUCCUUACCUGGCUGGGCUUGAUGCUGCUUCCCUCUCAUUUGAUUCAAGGACUACAAGUCUUGGCGAAUGCGGUGCUUGGUUAUUCCAGGAGACAAUACACAAUUGCACAACUUAUGAUCAAUAUAAUGAGAAUGCCAAGACUAAGAAGAAGAGUAGGAGGAGUACUAACUAAAGCUUCUUAUCAGUACCAUGAGGAACAUGGAAUCGAAAAGUAAUAUGUGGAGUAGCAAGAGAAUGAAGACUGCAUUGCAUCCUUGUUAUUAAGAGAAGUAGUGGAGAUAGUUUUGUAGUUAAAACGUUUUCUUUUGCAUGUCUUGUGGAGUUGGUGUUUUUGUAGAG